rnacentral:lncRNA from 1 species
UCAAAAAGAUAAGGAAGCUCCCACUCCUCACCAACAAUGACUUGUCACAAACAAGAAGUAGGGGAAAAGUGUGUCAUGGCUCCCAGAAUGCGGACGAGUCCCUAAAACACAGUCACAGGAGAAUACUAUCCAUCCCAUUAACGAAUUGGCAGAUGGUUUUCCCACAGAGGGGCAAACCCCUUAGGAAGGUACUACUAGAAUAUGAUUGGCAAAAGCCAAAGCUUGUGACCUUGUGUAUUAUAAACAUCCAUUAUUACGCACUUUUAAAGAGAUCGCUUCAAUCUCCUAUCAAAGAAAACAAUACUGCUUACUUGCUCUCUACAUUUUUUUUUUCUCUAUUCCGAUCGUUGUUGCCUUAUUAUUACUUCCUAAUAGCACACAUAGACGGCUUUGACUCACCUUCACUAGUUUGUUUUGCUCGUUCAUUAAUUUCUGUUUCAUUGUUGUUGUUUUCUUUUGAAUGUUAAGUACUGUAAUUGCUAAUUAAUUGACCAUUGAGACCACAUCCUUUGAUGGUUACUUGAAACUCAUUCAAUUCUCUCUCUACACUCUAUUCUAUGACUUUUCUCUUAACAUUACGACUACUAACGGUGGUGGUAACGGCUCUUUAGCCACUUGUAUGCCAGAUCACCCACUGGAAUAUGCGCCUUACGGUGGAUUACACUUCCCACUUUCCUGCCCUACCACUAGCUCUGCCAAAUUGAACCACCAGUAACACCCAAAUUUUCCACUCUAAUCACCAGAAAAACCCAACUAACAUGUACAACCAAAAAAAAAAAAAAUGAAAUAGACCAAAUCGGCCAACACAAAAAAGAGGCAGAAUCAUCCAAACAAAAUUGUGCAGGAGCUAUUCGAAACCAAAACAAGAGAGUUCAAAAAUCGAAUGUCAAGUUGGCUCCGAGAGCGCAUGAAAUUAUCCUAGGCAAACCAGUAGUGGUCUUCAC